rnacentral:rRNA from 1 species
AUUGAACGCUGGCGGCAGGCCUAACACAUGCAAGUCGAGCGGAUGAAGGGAGCUUGCUCCUGGAUUCAGCGGCGGACGGGUGAGUAAUGCCUAGGAAUCUGCCUGGUAGUGGGGGAUAACGUCCGGAACCGGGCGCUAAUACCGCAUAAGUCCUGAGGGAGAAAGUGGGGGAUCUUCGGACCUCACGCUAUCAGAUGAGCCUAGGUCGGCUUAGCUAGUUGGUGGGGUAAAGGCCUACCAAGGCGACGAUCCGUAACUGGUCUGAGAGGAUGAUCAGUCACACGGGAACUGAGACACGGUCCAGACUCCUACGGUGGGCAGCAGUGGGGAAUAUUGGACAAUGGGCGAAAGCCUGAUCCAGCCAUGCCGCGUGUGUGAAGAAGGUCUUCGGAUUGUAAAGCACUUUAAGUUGGGAGGAAGGGCAGUAAGUUAAUACCUUGCUGUUUUGACGUUACCAACAGAAUAAGCACCGGCUAACUUCGUG